rnacentral:lncRNA from 1 species
GGUCUUUUACGUCGGCCUUCGCGAGCGUCUGGGCGGGUGGUAGGAACAAUGGCGCUGUCUUCAGUGGCACAGUGGAGCAGCUCUGAAGAUGCAAAGAUACACGAAAAAACUUCCAGAACAUCUGGGAGAAUAUUUAAUGGAAAAUCGCUUGGUUAAAACCUGACACUUUUAACAGUGAACAGCGUUCUGAGUGUGGACGAGUAGCCAGUGAAGAUAAUGAAUGUCGAAUGUGACUGACUAGCAGCUUCAUUUUGAAGUAGGUUGUAUGGCUUAAAAGUUCUGUAGUAUUUGUACUAUAAUACUUGCCUUUUAGCAUUACCUUGGUUUGUAGUCAGUGUCACAGAAGUGCAGUUUAAUGUAUUAUGUGUACAUAUACAAGGUCUGAUUGGUCUAAUCAAUGAUGAAACCUAUCCCGAAGCUGAUAACCUGAAGAAAAAUAAGUACGGAUUCGGCUUCUGAGAUUAAGACCAGUAAUUCAGAGGUGGAGUAAAUUUUGUUGCCGUGAUUUUAUAACAGUUGUGUUAUAAAAUCCUGGGUUUUUUUUUUUUCUGCCAACAGUGAGGGUCGCUGUCUGCCCAUUGAUAGAGGCCAGAUUGUCUUGGAAGUUCCAAAGUUGCAACGAUUUCUGUAAGUGGAGUUUUUCUGUUUGCUUAGAGAUCAGUGAAUAUUGUGUCCUUGGUCUUAUCUGUGAUGAUCUUAUCCCGAACCUGAACUUCUGUUGAAAAAAAAAAACUUUUACGGAUCUGGCUUCUGAGAUGGACCGUUAUAAGGACAAUAUUUUUUUUUAAUACUUUUAAUGCUUUUACAUAUGUUGUAAUGUUUGUAGUCUUGUAAGAAUCUCGUGUUUUUCCUUUUCUAGGGCUAGUGCCACGAGGUUUACUUGACUGUUGUGUGAAAAGCUGAUAAGAAAACCAUCCAGAAAAAAGCUCUUCGUUUUACAAACAUGAAAAUAAAACAUGUAAUUUUG